rnacentral:rRNA from 1 species
GAUGAACGCUAGCGGCAGGCCUAACACAUGCAAGUCGAGGGGGAAGUUACUUUCGGGUGACUGAGACCGGCGUACGGGUGCGUAACGCGUAUACAAUCUGCCUUUCACUGGGGGAUAGCCCGAAGAAAUUUGGAUUAAUACCCCAUAGUAUAUAGGGACGGCAUCGUUUUUAUAUUAAAGCUUAGGUGGUGAAAGAUGAGUAUGCGUUCUAUUAGCUAGUUGGAGAGGUAACGGCUCCCCAAGGCGAUGAUAGAUAGGGGUUCUGAGAGGGAUGUCCCCCACACUGGUACUGAGAUACGGACCAGACUCCUACGGGAGGCAGCAGUGAGGAAUAUUGGACAAUGGUCGGAAGACUGAUCCAGCCAUGCCGCGUGCAGGAUGAAGGUCUUAUGGAUUGUAAACUGCUUUUGUAAGGGAAGAAUAAGGGCUACGCGUAGUUUGAUGACGGUACCUUACGAAUAAGCAUCGACUAACUCCGUG